rnacentral:rRNA from 1 species
UGGUCAAGUUAUUAAGGGUGCAGGGCGGAUGCCUUGGCACUAGGAGCCGAUGAAGGACGUGAUAAGCUGCGAUAAGCUUCGGGGAGUUGCACGUAAACUUUGAUCCGAAGAUUUCCGAAUGAGGAAACUCACUUAGAGUAAUGUCUAAGUAUCAUUAAGUGAAUACAUAGCUUAAUGAGGGGAACUCAGGGAACUGAAACAUCUAAGUACCUGAAGGAAGAGAAAGAAAUUCGAUUCCGUAAGUAGCGGCGAGCGAACGCGGAUUAGCCCAAACCAAUAAAGUUUUCUUUAUUGGGGUUGCGGACAUAACAUAACGAAGAGGUAUCGUAAUUGAAGAGGAUUGGAAAGACCCACCACAGAAGGUAAUAGUCCUGUAUGUUAAACGAGAAGACUUUAGAUAUGAUCCAGAGUACCACGGGACACGUGAAACCCUGUGGGAAGCAGGAGGGACCACCCUCCAAGGCUAAAUACUACCUAGUGACCGAUAGCGUAUAGUACCGUGAGGGAAAGGUGAAAAGAACCCCGGGAGGGGAGUGAAAUAGAACCUGAAACCCUGCACUUACAAGCUGUGGAAGCACAUUUCUUGUGUGACCGCGUACUUUUUGUAGAACGGGCCAACGAGUUACGUUAAGUAGCAAGGUUAAGCACUUAAGGUGUGGAGCCGUAGCGAAAGCGAGUUUUAACUGAGCGUUCAGUUACUUGACGUAGACCCGAAACCGGGCGACCUACCCAUGAGCAGGAUGAAGCGAAAGUAAAAUUUCGGGGAGGUCCGAACCCACGAGCGUUGAAAAGCUCGGGGAUGACUUGUGGGUAGCGGUGAAAUUCCAAUCGAGCCCGGAGAUAGCUGGUUCUCCCCGAAAUAGCUUUAGGGCUAGCCUCAAGGUGAGAGAUACGGAGGUAGAGCACUGAAUGUCCUAGGGGGUAUUGCACCUACCGAAGACUAUCAAACUCCGAAUGCCGUCAUCUUAUACUUGGGAGUCAGACUGUGGGUGAUAAGAUUCAUAGUCGAAAGGGCAACAGCCCAGAUCGUCAGCUAAGGUCCCUAAAUGUAAGUUAAGUGGUAAAGGAUGUGGGAUUGCACAGACAACCAGGAUGUUGGCUUAGAAGCAGCCACUCAUUCAAAGAGUGCGUAAUAGCUCACUGGUCGAGUGAUCCUGCGCCGAAGAUUUCCGGGGCUAAAACUUACUACCGAAGCUACGGCAUCAGUAAUGAUGGGUAGGGG